AGGGGGCAGCCGGCGUCCCCGGGGGUUUCGCAUCCGCGCUUCUGCGAGCGCGCUCGGCCUUGUAACAUGGCAACUCCAGUUUCCAGAACUAUAUAUGGAAUGUCUCAUGUGCCGGGAUCUCAUUUUGUAAGGGCUGCCUGGAUCCCUCCCCUGCAGUCUGCUAACCCCCCGGGAAGCGAGGAAUCUCCGAUGUCUUCCCUAAAACUAUGCCCUAUCUUCUCACUGUAUUGUUUAAAGUCAGGAAUAUCAGGCUAGCAACAACUGAAGGAUGAGGACCUUAGUGAAGUGGUACAAGCUUGUGCAACUCACAGUCUCACUGAAACACGUUAAAAGGAAGCUGGAAGCCACUUAGAAGAAAAUUCACCUGCUUCAG
rnacentral:lncRNA from 1 species